UACGUAGGGGGCAAGCGUUAUCCGGAUUCACUGGGUGUAAAGGGAGCGUAGACGGCCAGGCAAGCCUGGAGUGAAAGCCCGGGGCCCAACCCCGGGACUGCUCUGGGAACUGUCCGGCUGGAGUGCGGGAGGGGCAGGCGGAAUUCCUGGUGUAGCGGUGAAAUGCGUAGAUAUACGGAGGAACACCAGUGGCGAAGGCGGAUUGCUGGACAGUAACUGACGCUGAGGCGCGAAAGCGUGGGGAGCAAACAGG
rnacentral:rRNA from 1 species